GCAUCCACAAUCAAGAAACAGGGGCAAUGGUUUCUGGGAUGUUCAUUCACAAUUUUCUUUUUGUAUACAGGUGUGUCUGGAGGCUUGUCUUCUAGUGAUUCCAAAUUCGGACAAAUCAACACCACCAACCAUCAGAAAAUAUAAACACAAAGCUUGACUGUGUGAUUGGAAACUUUGAAGGACAAAGCCUCAAGUUUAAUUCCGCUGUCAGAAAAGCAGUCUGAAGGCAGUGAUGGGCACUUCAGUCUGUGUGACUUCUCUGUCAAAGUGAUUGACCAACAAUUCUGCCUUCGGAGGGUUUAGUCUCAGUAAGGAGUACAAGUGAUCCAACUUAUAAGGAAGAUGAUAGCACUGGACGAACGAACCUGGGAAUAUGGCUGAAUGGCCAAGGUGUAUCUGAAGAAGUAAGGAGCCACAUCUCACCUCUGCUUGGUUGGGUUCUCGGUGAGUUUUACGUUCUUUGUAAUUUUGUAUAUUGCAAAAAUUGAUAGUAAUUAAAAACUAUAACAUGAAUUCAUUACAUGGAUCCCAAAAUAGUACAGAUUAUUGAUGAAGCCCUUGGUUACUUCUCAGAGGUUGAAGGUGGUCCCUAUUGUGCAAGCC
rnacentral:lncRNA from 1 species